rnacentral:sRNA from 1 species
AGUUCGCUUCGCUCGUGUGCAGUGGAAAUCCUUUUGUGCCGGGGUUCGGCACAAAAGAUUGCAACGAAUAGCGGGAAAAGCU